ACAGAGGAUAAUAGAUCACUUAGAAAUUUGUUCUGGUAUUGGUUGCUGAUGUGCGGUACAUUUUUCAGGAGAAACAAAGCAAUUAUUAAAGAAUUAAGCACUUCAGCUCCUGGUUCAAAGGGCCUCUAUUUCCCUACACAGUACUCCCAGUCCUUUUUAACCCAAUGCAUAGCUUGCUUAUGGAAGCAACGGUUGUCAUACUGGCGGAAUCCACCAUAUACUGCUGUCAGAUUUCUGUUCACCACCUUUAUAGCAUUGAUGUUCGGGACAAUGUUCUGGGAUCUUGGCUCCAAAACGUAAGUUAUGUAGUAGUACUAAAACCGUUAGUGGUUCAUACUAAUGUUGUAUUUAUGCCUUCCAAUCUUAUUUCUCCUUGAACUAUAGGAGGACGCAACAAGACAUUUUUAAUUCUGCGGGUUCAAUGUACGGAGCAGUUGUCUUUCUAGGGACACAAAAUGCGGCAUCUGUGCAACCGGUUGUAGCAAUUGAAAGAACUGUCUUCUAUAGAGAAAGAGCUGCCGGAAUGUAUUCAGCUUUGCCUUAUGCCUAUGCGCAGGUAACAAGUCUUUUCUUGUUUUAAUGGAACAUUCGUCAGGUAGAACAUUCUGGAUUUAUUCUUAACAAACUUCGAAUCUCUGGCCACAGGUCCUGGUUGAGAUUCCAUACAUUUUUGCUCAAGCAGUUGUAUAUGGUCUUUUAACAUACUCAAUGAUUGGAUUCGAAUGGACUGCUGCUAAGUUCUUUUGGUAUAUAUUCUUCAUGUACUUCACAUUGAUGUACUUCACCUACUACGGAAUGAUGGCUGUUGCCGUGACGCCAAAUCACCACAUUGCAUCCAUAGUUUCUUCAGCAUUUUAUGGAAUUUGGAACCUCUUUUCAGGAUUUAUUGUCCCAAGAACCGUAAGCGUUUCAUGGCCUUUCGUCGUUUUAAAAUUUUACAGGUUUAUGUUGUCUGUAGCUUAUAGUUGUUCUUUGGACUGACUUUAUUCUACCAAUUCUGUAAUCUGACAGAGGAUGCCUGUAUGGUGGAGAUGGUAUUACUGGGCAUGUCCAGUGUCAUGGACCUUGUACGGAUUGAUUGGGUCGCAGUUUGCAGAUAUAAAAGAUUCAUUUGAAGGUGGGAGCCAAACAGUGGAAGAUUUUGUAAGAGAGUACUAUGGUAUCAGACAUGAUUUUCUCGGAGUAGUUGCAGCUGUGAUUGUCGGGACUACUGUACUAUUUCCUUUUAUUUUCGCUGUUUCUGUCAAGUCCUUUAACUUCCAAAGGAGAUAAAGAUUUAGUUUGUUGUCUUAUUAUUCUUAUUCUUUGGUUUAUAGCUGUAGGCAUUAUAAUGAAGAAAUUCUAAAUUUGUUAAACAUUUUCUUAGGAACAUUACAUCCAUUUUUUGUAUAGUAAUGAUACAAGGAAAUGUUUCUGUAUUCCUACUGGUGUAUUUGUAGUUCACUUCAGUCAUCCCGGACAGAUGAUGAUGAAAUAAACAUGAUAGAAAUGAAAUAAAAUGAUCCUUCAAUUUGUGGGUGGCUAGUAUUUAAUUUCUGAAUCAAUCAAAGUUGAUGAAUGAAAAUAGAUAAUAUCAAUAAACUUUAGGCUUCAAUUCAAGCAUAUUCACAAAAAAGAAAAGACUUCAUUAAUAGAAAAAUUGCUUAUUGAAUUAAUUCUUAGACAGAGUGUAAGUUUGCCAAGUUCUACAUCAUCAACCCAAAGACACAACUAACUGUUUAUUAUGCCUUCCCUAGACAUGUAUAUUUAACAAAAAUAAACCAUGUUAAUUAAUGAUACUACAUCCCGGAUAAUAAUUGAUUUUAAAUAUUUUAUUAAUCAUAUAUCUCCACAGUUAAGUUAAAUUAAAUUAUGAAAAGUGAGGUGACAUCAUUAAUCGAUGCGUUAAUUUUUAUUGUGUGUAUCAAUAAACGAUAUUAAAUGCUGAAAAUUGGUUUUCAUAUACUCACACUAAUUUCUAUUUAGACUGUGAUAUGAUGGUUUAGUAAUUAAUCCUCUCACCUCAUAUAAUUCUACGUAUCUAAUUUUCUUUCUCUGUCAAUACCAAGAAACUAUCAUUGAUGAAAGAAAAACCAGUACAACUGGCUAAGCCAAAAAAAGAAACAGGAAAACAGUUAGCCCAUACUAAGAGCAGCAAAUAUGUUAAUAACAUCUGCAGCAUGUCUACUGCUACGACUUUUUGAAUUACAUCAUUGACUUGAACUGUAAAAUUCUGGAAGACCUGUUGAUUCCUGCUUCUCCAAAUAUGGUGCACUGUUGCUGCCAAAACCGACCUUCUCAACUUCCGUAAUUGGUUUUUGCCAGACGUCUCUCGCAAAAAACCAGCUGAUCUCCAGGUGCACUUACUUCUGCUAAUGUUACGAGCCAUCAGCAUCCCUGUUCCAAAUAGCUGCUGCAUACGGAAAAUAGAAAGAAAAAAAAAGAGAGAAAGAUAUGGGGAAUAGUCUCUUGUAAGUACAGAGGAUGAACGUGUCAUUAUUAACAACCCCCCGAGUUUUCAACUGAUCUUUGGUUCUUAGCUUUGUCUUAAUAAUCAACCAAGGAAUAUAAUUAUGUCUACCAAUAUGAUCUGCUUGAUCCGUAAUACUUCUUUCUCCAUUCUACUCCGACAGCUUCAUCACUGAGAAAGUUCCAAGCGCUGGAAAUGGAGAAUUCUCCAUUAAUGGUACACUUCCAGGCGAUAUAACAUUAUGUUGAAUACUCCAGGGGUUUCUUAACCCUAGCAUAAACACUUUUCUUAACAACCACUUUUCCUGCAUUAUCAAAGUCCAUUACUGUAAAGCUCUUAAUAAGGAAAGGAUAGUGCUACAGUAAUGAAUGAUUUUGUUGGUCAUCUCAAAGAUCUCACGUGAGCUUGUCACUGCUUGUCCUGAAUUGCUGGUGUUCCAUUUAAUAAUAUUAAGUCCAAACUUUUCUCUCAAGUAAGAGAUAGAACGGACUUUUUUUUUUUAAGACAAUGGACUAUUAGUAUAUAGUCAAGUUCCAAAAUAUUUAAUUAUUAUUUUCUAUUCAAAGAAAUGUUAUGCUUUAUGAGAAACUUUGUUUAGCCUAAAUGAAUAUUCAUAAAAUACGCGGUGGUCCAAAAUCCCAUUCAAACGGUAGAAUUUCUAAAAUCUACCAUUUUUUUAUGGAGAAAUUAUUGUAUUAAAAAAAUUUAAAUUCGAAUAUUCUCAUUGUUAGUAAUGAUAUAUUACUUUUAUCGUGUAUAAAUGGAUCACUAAAAAUAAAAGAAAUUUGGAGGAAUUCAAUGUUGUAAAAUGGGAAUUGAGUUAAGCUAAAAAAGAUAAAUAAAUAGAAGCUUCAAGGAAAGAUUUUGUGCAUGUUUCUGCUAUUCUUUUUGGAUGUUCAUCAAUUAAAAAUUGAAACUUGAUCCUCAAGAGUCUCGUGCAUAUUCUUGCCUUGUCUGUGUACGGGUCUGAACUUUUUUUUUUUUUUUUUUGGAGAUGUACGUAGAAGUUCACCAGUUGACCAUACACAUUAAAUAUAUAGUCUCUUACAAACGAAUAAGUAAAAGCUGUGAAAUGCUUCACUUUUAUAAUCUCAGCUUCCAAGUAGUUGGAUUCCGACAUCAUUGCUAAUGUCUGUUAGAUUCAUUACUUUAUAUUAUCCUUUUCUUUUUUCUUUAGUUCAGUUCAAAUUAAUCCAAUAUCGUUUCCUUCUCCAAUUGCUUUCACAUGAUUUUAAGUAACUUACCAUUUAUGCAUCACUUGGGGCUCUUUUAGAGGGCCGUGGGAGCCAAGCAGAUUUAAUUAUCUACAUACUAUAGAUUCUUGAAAUUUCUGGUAGAAAAAGAAUUUAAAGAGAAAACAUAUUUAAGUUUGACGAGUCAGCCGCCAGUUCAGUUAUAAUCACUAUAAAUAGCUUGUUCCUCAAGGGAAAUGGCAUUGCAUAGUUUGUGCGCUCUUUCAGCACUAAGAGCCCAACAAUAUAUUACGAAGUUUCAAAAUCAAGAAAAAGAGUUAAAGACAAGAUUUGGGUUUGGGUGGGUUUUUCUAUUUUUAUUAUAUACGGAAUCACAUUCAUUUUGAUUCUUUUUCAAACAAUGGAGGGUGGUGGCCUCUAUAGAGCUGCUAGUAGUAGUUUAAGAAGAGGAGGGUCUUCUAUAUGGACAAAUAAUACAAUACCUGAUAUAUUUUCAAUGUCUUCGAGAGAAGAAGAUGAUGAAGAAGCUCUUAAAUGGGCUGCUCUUGAAAGGUUACCUACUUAUGAUCGUUUGAGGAAAGGUAUAUUGUUUAGUGCAUCAAGAAAUGGAGCUAAUGAGAUUGAUGUUGGUAGUCUUGGAUUCCAUGAAAGGAAACUUUUGCUUGAGAGAUUACUGAGAGUCGUUGAAGAAGAUAAUGAGGAGUUCUUGUUGAAGCUCAAGAACCGUAUUGAUAGGUAAAGAUUUCUACUGGUUCUUCUUNNNACUUUUUAGUUAAUGCGUCUCUGAUGGGGAAAGAUUGGGCUUUUAGGUUAGUAGUUAAGUCUCAUGUAGUCCAGGAGCUUUCCUCUUUAAGAAUUUCUGCAGUAACCAAAUGCCUAUAUAUGGCAAUGAGAUAAUAAAUCUUUGCUGUUCUUAUCAUAUAGGAUUUGAAUGUUGGAAAUGUGUUCGAUCGAAUUUGAGACUGAUUGAGUCAAAUAGUUAGAAUAGAAUAAUAGCUGCGAUGUUCUUUUUUCUUACGAUUAUUUCUCUAAUUUCUUGGUCUUUUAGAGUUGGAAUUGAACUUCCAACAAUUGAAGUUCGGUUUGAGAACCUAAAUAUUGAAGCUGAAGCCUUUGUAGGAAGCAGAGCUUUGCCUACAUUCGUUAAUUUCUCUAUUAAUUUAUUUGAGGUAAGUACUUCCAAAGAUUGAAUCUUGCUAAUUUUGGCAUGUUAUGUUUUUCUUGUAAACUAAAUAUCCUUUGAUUUUAAAGGGCUUUUUGAAUUCUCUUCACAUUCUUCCAAGUAGAAAAAAACAACUGACCAUCCUCAAGGACGUUAGUGGAGUCAUCAAGCCAUCAAGGUGAGACAAGUUUGAUCUUUAACUAUAAUUACUUGGGUCAAAUGAUAACAUAUUUGUACUGAAAACGUUUUGCAACUUUUCUAAUUGAUCUUUUGGUGUUUGCAUAUAAUCCAGGAUGACUUUACUUUUGGGUCCUCCAAGUUCUGGAAAGACUACGCUUUUGUUAGCUUUGGCUGGAAAGCUUGAUCCUAACUUGAAGGUAGUAAUACAUUAUCAUGGCUUUAUAACUUCCUCGAGAACUUUUAGCAUUCAAUGUUAAUACUGAAUUUCUCUUUCAGUUUUCUGGUAAUGUGACUUAUAAUGGUCACGGAAUGAAUGAAUUCAUACCACAAAGCACUGCUGCCUAUAUCAGUCAACAUGAUCUUCAUAUAGGAGAAAUGACUGUAAGAGAGACUUUGUCAUUUUCCGUCAGAUGCCAAGGGGUUGGAACCCGAAAUGGUCAGAAUACCUUUUAUUUAAACCAUAUUCUUAAGAUGUGUCCCGAUCAUGACCUAUAGACAAUCUAAAUGUGAAUGUUUAUGAGAGAAAAUCUGGCAAUUUUGCAGAUAUGUUAGUUGAGUUGUCUAGAAGAGAGAAAGCAGCAAAUAUUAAACCUGAUCCGGAUAUUGAUGUUUUCAUGAAGGUAAGUAAAGAAAUCAUAAAAAUGAAAAGGAAUUGGCAUGAAAAGGCACAAAAUAUCCCUUUAUGUUUUUUGCUCAAUAAACAUUGCAAUAACACAAUCUAGAACAAGCUGCAAUAGUGGAGAUUGAUUAUCUUCUUCUGGUAUAUUUAUGCUGUCACAGGCUGUAGCAACAGAAGGCCAGGAGACCAAUGUGGUCACAGAUUAUGUUUUGAAGGUAUUAUCAUCGAAAAGUACUUUAGUGCCUUCAAGUAUCAUAAAAAAUUAAUAUUAUUGAAAUACCUUAUUUAAGGACUAUUAUCACUUUUAUUUUACAGAUAUUAGGAUUAGAAGUCUGUGCAGAUACCUUGGUUGGAGAUGAAAUGUUAAGAGGCAUCUCCGGUGGACAAAGGAAGCGUGUAACAACAGGUGAAUGGAAUUCACCAGUCUAUUCCUAACCCCAAAAAAGAUUCAAUUAUUUCCCUUUCACAUUUACAACUGUGUCUAAAGUGAUAUCUUCAAUGUUCAAAAUGAAGGUGAAAUGCUGGUUGGGCCAGCGAGGGCAUUGUUUAUGGAUGAGAUAUCCACUGGCUUAGACAGCUCCACAACUUACCAAAUUGUGAACUCACUUAAGCAAACCAUUCAUAUUCUUGAUGGAACUGCUGUCAUUUCUCUCCUCCAGCCAGCCCCAGAGACUUAUGAUCUCUUUGAUGACAUUAUUCUGCUGUCUGAUGGCCAGAUUGUUUACCAGGGUCCUCGGGAACAUGUGCUUGAGUUUUUUGAAUAUAUGGGCUUCAAGUGUCCUGAAAGAAAAGGCGUGGCAGAUUUCUUGCAAGAAGUAAGCAUAAGUGUAGUAGUUCUAUCUUUCUUUCUUAAUAAGCCUUAUUUGUGAGAUUCCAAAACACUUGAGAAUGAAAAAUUAAUUGCAGGUGACAUCAAAGAAUGAUCAGAAGCAAUAUUGGGUACAAAAAGAUCAGCCUUACAGUUUUGUCACAGUACAAGAAUUUUCUGAGGCAUUCCAAUCAUAUGAUGUGGGUCAAAUAAUAGGACAAGAGCUUUCAACCCCAUUUGAUAAAUCCAAAAGCCAUCCUGCUGCUUUGGCAGCGAGAAAGUAUGGUGUUGAUAAGAUGGAGCUGCUUAAAGCUUGUUUCGCAAGAGAGUACUUGCUAAUGAAGAGGAAUUCAUUUGUUUAUAUCUUCAAGCUCACGCAAGUAAUUAUCAACAGAAUUUACAUUUUCCUAGUUUCCAUGUUACAGCAAAUUUCCUAUUUCUCAAACAACAGAAUUUUGUCCUUGCUUCUAGCUUGUAGUUAUGGCAAUUAUAUCUAUGACACUCUUCUUGCGAACUGAGAUGCAUCGAGAAGACCUCACGGAUGCAGGAGUGUAUUUGGGCGCCUUGUUCUUCUCUUUGAUCGCGAUCAUGUUCAAUGGCAUGUCAGAGCUAUCCAUGACCAUUGCAAAGCUUCCUGUGUUUUACAAGCAAAGGGACCUCCAAUUCUAUCCUCCAUGGGCAUAUGCGCUUCCCACAUGGAUACUUAAAAUUCCUAUUACGUUUUUCGAAGUUGGUGUUUGGGUUUUUAUCACCUAUUAUGUCAUCGGAUUUGAUCCUAAUGUUGAAAGGUAAGAAGGAAAAGAAAAUAAAGAGAAGGAAAAGAAAGGAAAAUAACUAUGUUGAUUAAAAUAUCAUGUAAAGCAAUGUGUUCUGCUCCAGCUGAUACAAAUUGUUACGACUGCAGAUUAUUCAAGCAGUACUUUCUGCUCUUAAUUGUUAACCAGAUGGCCUCCGGACUAUUCCGAUUUAUAGCUGCAGUAGGAAGGAACAUGAUUGUUGCUAACACAUUUGGAUCAUUUGCGCUACUUACAGUUUUUGCAUUGGGCGGCAUAGUCCUGUCACGAGGUACAUCUUGUAAACUAGUGUGUUUGGCUGACUAAUUUUUGGGAUAUCAAACAAGAAUGGCAAGGAAUCAAUUUUUUUUUUUCCUCCUUGUUAUAUUAAACAGAUGACAUUAAGAAAUGGUGGACAUGGGGUUACUGGAUCUCACCAAUGAUGUAUGGGCAGAAUGCAUUAGUAGCUAAUGAGUUCUUAGGAGAGAGCUGGAAUCAUGUAAUUCUCUUGAACUUGACAAUAUUUGGGUUUUAGCUUCUCAAUAAUUAAGCAAUUUCUUAUGUUACCUUACGAAUUACAGGUUCCAGCAAACUCAACCUCAACUGAUUCCUUGGGAGUUCAAUUUAUUAAAAGUCGUGGGUUCUUCCCACAUGCAUACUGGUAUUGGAUAGGCAUAGGCGCAUUGACAGGAUUCACAAUAUUAUUCAACUUGUGUUUCACUUUGGCUCUCACUCACCUUAAUCGUGAGUAUUGUUAUCUUUAAAUUUCAGGUUUUUUUUCUUUCGCUGAAAAUAAGAACGUGUCCUAAUGUCUUGGCAGCAUAUGAGAAGCCCCAUGCUGUUAUAUCUGACGAGCCUGAACGUAGUGACAGAACCGGAGGAGCCAUUCAGUUAUCACAAAAUGGAAGUAGUCAUAGGACAAUCACAGGUAAGUCUCAUUGGUAAUGGGUUCAUCUCAGAUUCAUUUCUUAUGUUCUUAUUAGUUGCUAAUGUAGUACACUCAAUUUCUUUGUAGAGAAUGGAGUUGGAAUUAGGAUGACUGAUGAGGCAAACCAGAAUAAGAAAAAAGGAAUGGUUCUUCCAUUUGAACCACAUUCCAUCACCUUUAAUGAUGUUAUGUACUCUGUUGACAUGCCUCAGGUAUCAAAAAGGAGAAAAAUAUUUCCUUUCAGUGCGAUAUGGUUCAAACAAUGAUGGAAUUUGACCUUGUUACAUUAAACUUUACAGGAAAUGAAAAGUCAAGGAAUUGCUGACGAUAAAUUGGUGCUUUUGAAGGGUGUCAGUGGUGCAUUCAAGCCAGGUGUUCUGACAGCAUUGAUGGGUGUUAGUGGUGCUGGUAAAACUACUCUGAUGGAUGUGCUGGCUGGUAGGAAAACUGGUGGAUAUAUUGAGGGGGACAUCCGAAUUUCUGGGUACCCAAAGAAGCAAGAUACUUUUGCUAGAAUUUCAGGAUAUUGCGAGCAAAAUGACAUCCAUUCCCCACAUGUUACUGUUUAUGAAUCCCUAAUCUACUCGGCUUGGCUUCGUCUAGCCCCUGAAGUUGACCCUGAAACCAGGAAGGUAAAAAUAUACAUCACAAGUCUUCUUUACGCAUCUAGUUUUCAAUGCAAUCUUGUAUACUUCAAACAUCAUCGCUCUUGUGCUUGUUUCCUUUGAGCAUGCCCAGUAUCUGGUGUUUAGUCCAUUCAAAAUGAUUUGCAUUAUGUUGUUUAAAAGGCAUUGAUAUCCCAUACCCUAUGCUUUUAUCUAGUUUGUAGAAACCUGUUUCUUCUACCUGACAAUGCUGUCAAGAUCUCAGUUAUCUUGAAUGUACUUCAUCUGUCAGUAAUACAUUAAAUGGGAGGACUCUCAGUCACACAAAAUUGAUUCUAUGUUUGCAGAUGUUUGUUAACGAAGUUAUGGAGCUUGUGGAACUAAAUCCACUGAGGCAAGCACUAGUUGGAUUGCCUGGAGUGAAUGGUCUGUCUACUGAGCAGCGGAAGCGGCUAACAAUUUCAGUUGAGUUAGUGGCAAACCCCUCCAUAAUAUUCAUGGAUGAGCCAACUUCAGGACUAGAUGCAAGAGCUGCUGCAAUUGUAAUGAGAACAGUUAGAAACACUGUGGACACAGGAAGAACGGUUGUAUGCACCAUCCACCAGCCAAGCAUUGAUCUAUUUGAAGCUUUCGAUGAGGUAAGGAAUGUUUAAAAGAUCAUAAGGUUGAAGAUUUAUUGUGGCUUAAGUUCUUUAUCACUUAUAUGUGUUGCGUAUAUCUUUCCAUUGCAGCUAUUCUUGAUGAAGAGAGGUGGAGAAGAGAUCUAUGUUGGCCCAUUGGGUCGGCAUUCUUGCCAUAUGAUUGACUAUUUUGAGGUACAUUUGAUGUCAUGGAAACGUAAAAAGAACCUUCAUUCAAGUUUUAAAAGACUAUAUUCAUGCUAAUUUCUUUUAAUUAUUCAUUUUGUAAAGGUAAUCGAAGGAGCAAGUAAAGUUAAAGAUGGUUAUAAUCCAGCAACUUGGAUGCUGGAAGUUACCAGUUCUGCACAAGAGUUGUCUUUGGGAGUUGAUUUUGCUACCAUCUACAAGAAUUCAGAGUUGUACAGGUAAACUUGUAAGAAUUACGUAGCGUGCACUAUUAAUGUUUCAAACAGAGGAUAAUAUAUCGCUUAGAAAUUUGUUCUGGUAUUGGUUGCUGAUGUGCGGUACAUUUUUCAGGAGAAACAAAGCAAUUAUUAAAGAAUUAAGCACUUCAGUUCCUGGUUCAAAGGACCUCUAUUUCCCUACACAGUACUCCCAGUCCUUUUUAACCCAAUGCAUAGCUUGCUUAUGGAAGCAACGGUUGUCAUACUGGCGGAAUCCACCAUAUACUGCUGUCAGAUUUCUGUUCACCACCU
rnacentral:lncRNA from 1 species